AAAAUGGAUCAAAAAGUCAAUAUUGGCAUAAAGUCACUAUGUGAAAGUCCACAAAUAGAGCAAUAUAUGUGAUCAAAUACAAAUAAAAAAUAAUAUGUGUUGAAAAAGUCACUGAAAAAAAGGAAUAAAAAGUCCACAGUCUUUGCAACAAUAAUGCUGUUUGAAACUGUUAUUGUAAAUAGUUUUCACAAUGUUAGCUUGUAGCAGUUAGCCUCAGUUACAGAGUUUGACUGGGGUUUAUCUGCCACACAAGGUUUUUGAAUAUAGUACAAAAGACAAAUAUCUUCUUCCUUAAAUGCUG